AUUUAAUUUCCAAACAGGUUCGUGAGCCGAGGGACUGAAUAGAUGCGGAGAGCUGGGUGAGAGUGUAACUGACAGCUCUCUGUGGUCUUGUGCCUUCCGAGGAAGUUCAUGACAACUGCAAACGCUUGACACCUAUGAAAAUCAGGCUCCGUAUCCUUGUGAAUAGUAUCUUUAAAGAACAGAGGGUCGGAGUGCUGUUUUUGCAGGCUGCAGCUUACCUUCUGUGCGCUCCGAGAGUGCCCCACGAAGGGGCAGGAAGACAGCAGCUGCUGGAGGGAGAUCA